CCUACGGGUGGCAGCAGUGAGGAAUAUUGGUCAAUGGGCGUAAGCCUGAACCAGCCAAGUCGCGUGAGGGAUGAAGGUUCUAUGGAUCGUAAACCUCUUUUAUAAGGGAAUAAAGUGUGGGACGUGUCCUGUUUUGUAUGUACCUUAUGAAUAAGGAUCGGCUAACUCCGUGCCAGCAGCCGCGGUAAUACGGAGGAUGCGAGCGUUAUCCGGAUUUAGUGGGUUUAAAGGGUGCGCAGGCGGCCUGUUAAGUCAGCGGUAAAAGCCCGGGGCUCAACCCCGGCGAGCCGUUGAAACUGGCGGGCUGGAGUUGGAGAGAAGUACGCGGAAUGCGCGGUGUAGCGGUGAAAUGCUUAGAUAUCGCGCAGAACCCCGAUUGCGAAGGCAGCGUACCGGCUCCACACUGACGCUGAGGCACGAAAGCGUGGGUAUCGAACAGGAUUAGAUACCCCGGUAGUC
rnacentral:rRNA from 1 species